AUAGAGACUCAGAGCUGCAUAUCAAUAAGCGGAGGAAAAGAAACUAACAAGGAUUCCCUUAGUAACGGCGAGUGAAGCGGGAAGAGCUCAAAUUUGAAACCUUCAAGGUUUUACCUUGACGAAUUGUAGUUUAUAGAAGUGUUUUCUGUUAGUGGAGUGGCAAAAGUUCUUUGGAAUAGGACAUCAUAGAGGGUGAGAAUCCCGUAUUUGGUCAUUCCUCCUAGCGUUGUGAUACACUUUCAACGAGUCGGAUUGUUUGGGAAUGCAGUCCAAAAUGGGUGGUAAAUUUCAUCUAAAGCUAAAUAUUGGCGAGAGACCGAUAGCGAACAAGUACCGUGAGGGAAAGAUGAAAAGAACUUUGAAAAGAGAGUUAAACAGUACGUGAAAUUGUCAAAAGGGAAGCGUUUGACACCAGUGUUGUUUUCUCGAAAAUCAAUUAAAAAUGGACUUGAUUUUGUGUUGUAUUGACUCUUAUAAGCUUUCUGCACUUUUUUCUAUGUCUUUUUUAAUGCACUUUUCGUUUAACAAGUCAACAUCGAUUUCCUUUGUUGUAAAAGGGUCAUUGGAAGGUGGCUUUCAUUUCGGAUGAAAGUGUUUAUAGCCUUUGAUCUCUGCAAUCCGGAGAGACUGAGGUCUGCAGCGUAGACUCUUCGGGGUUAGAUACAUUUAUGCUAAGUUAUAGCUUUUUCAUAGACAACAUUGUUGACUAUGUUUAGUCUUGUAGCUUACUCGCUUAUGCUAUUUUACCUACGCUUAGGAUGUUGAUAGUCACAGCGUGUAC
rnacentral:rRNA from 1 species